rnacentral:rRNA from 1 species
UACGAAGGGGGCUAGCGUUGUUCGGAAUUACUGGGCGUAAAGCGCACGUAGGCGGAUAUUUAAGUCAGGGGUGAAAUCCCAGAGCUCAACUCUGGAACUGCCUUUGAUACUGGGUAUCUCGAGUAUGGAAGAGGUGAGUGGAAUUCCGAGUGUAGAGGUGAAAUUCGUAGAUAUUCGGAGGAACACCAGUGGCGAAGGCGGCUCACUGGUCCAUUACUGACGCUGAGGCGCGAAAGCUAGGGGAGCAAACAGG